rnacentral:lncRNA from 1 species
CAAGUCCCCCGCCGAAAUCGUCCGGGAGGUGCUGCUGAGCAGUGGGGAGGGGGCCCCGCCACGGCCCUCCUCCUCCCCCGGAGUGCCACAGGAGCUCCGCUCCCCCAGGCAGGCCACUGCACUGGUGCAGCAACUGCAGGAUGACUACCACAAGCUGCUGACCAAGUACGCCGAGGCCGAAAACACCAUUGACCAGCUGAGGCUGGGGGCCAAGGUGAACCUGUAUGCCGACCCGCCGUGUGCCAGCCGCAGUGCCCGCGCCGGCACCAUGAGUGGUGGCUGCAGGGUGAUGGCCUUCAGCAUCCCACGGCCCAGCGCCGCAGCCAUCAGCACAGCCCCAAACCCACAGCUCCCCGUGGGUGGAGCUCCAGCGCCACAACCAGCAGAGCCGGGGGCAGCAUCCCAGCCCUGCUCUCCUCGCUCCCCCCUGGGGGGCUGCCCCACAUGUGUGGGGCCGUGCUGCUGUGCAGGGCCACGGCUCACACAGACACUGGCAGAGCAGACCCGCAAAUUUCAAGCGCAGGUAAGUCAGGGGGACAG